rnacentral:lncRNA from 1 species
CCUUUUGAAAGAAGCUAUUCAGGAACAAAUGGACCGUUUUAUACUUCAGGAACAAGCAUAAAGAAUAUUGAUCACCUUUGUCUUAAUCUUAAUUAAAAAAGGAAUUAAGCAUAUUGGAUUCAAAUAUUCAAACAGUCUUUCUUGCUAUCGAAAUCUAAAAAAUAUAUAUAUAUGGAAAUAAAUUACGUCCAAUAGGAUUUGAACCUAUACCAAAGGUUUAGAAGACCUCUUUCCUAUCCAUUAGACAAUGUACGCUUUUCAUUCUGAUUUUUUUUUCGUAUUUUAACUUUUUCUUUGAAAAAAAAAAUAGAAAGAAUCUGAUGUGAAAUAAUAUUUUGAAUUGUAUAUUCAAUGAUGUACUAAUACUAAUAUACUAAAUUUGAUUUAAUGAAUAGAUUAAAAUAUUUAUAAUAAAUAGAUAUAGAGCGGGUAGCGGGAAUCGAACCCGCAUCGUUAGCUUGGAAGGCUAGGGGUUAUAGUCGACGUCGAUUCGUUUUUUUAACGUCUCUAAUUCAAAACCGAACAUGAAACUUUGAUUUCAUUCGGCUCCCUUAUGGAGAUGAGUCAAUGUAUAAGAUCUAAGAUGUGAACAAAAUUCGAAAAAAAAAAAGAAUUCUACCCAUAACAUCUAUGUCAGCUUUUGGUCUGAAUACAGAUAAAACGAAUUGCUUUGUAGAUGAUCCUUCUAGAAGAGGGGGAUUCUAACAACCUUUCUAGUUAUUUCGUUCUCUAUUUCUAUUUAAUAGGAUCCUGAGGAAAAGGAGUUUGUUUCCACCGAGCUAAAACAAUAUGUUGAUGUCUCUAGUAAACCAAAGUCAUCGUUUAAUAGCUAUUUUGCUUCACUUUCUUCUUUACAAAUAAGAAAUUGAAGAUUUAGUUACGAUUAGAAAUCAACUUUCUAUCUUUAUCCAUGGAUCCUUUAUUGAUACUUAUUCAAUUGGAAGUAUUGAUCCAAUUCAAAAAUUAUGUUUCGCAAUUUCAUAAUCCAAUUUUUCAAUGUCUAAGUGACCUUUGGAUACCAAUCACGAGAAUGUGUAUUUGUUCUCGAAUCUGUCAUUGAGAGGAAAAGGAUUUAAUCCUUUUAAGAAAUAAAGUUUUUGAUCGGAAUAUGAAUCAAACCGAAGGACCCUUUAACUAUUUAAGGGAUAAUAGAACGAAUCACACUUUUACCACUAAACUAUACCCGCUACAAUCCGAUUAUUGUAUACAAAUGCAACUUUUGUCGAACAGGGGAAUUGUGUUAAUUAAGAUAGGAUAAGAUAGGGUCGUCAAAACCACUAAAAUCAUAAAAACCACUAAAAUCAUAACAUAAAAAUGCCUCUAAAGCUUCUUUUUUUUAGUCCAGCAAGGCGGUAAACAUAAAAUCAAAAAGCAGAAAGAGAAAUGAGACUUUUAUUUUGAUCGAAUUUUCUAUUGCAUGUAUUUUAUUUUACCUUUAUAAAAAAUGGGAAUUUUUUCUUGUUGCUUGAAUAUUAACUAUUCAAUUAAAAUGAAAUAUUACAACUAUAACAAUCAUUUUUGUUUUCAAAUUCAAAUUCGUUGGAACAAAAGAGGUCCAGCUGGGUACUGACCAGACCAGGCCAUGAGAAAAAGAGAGUCCUUUCGAACAAAAUCAAGACAAAGAAAAGAGUUCUUCUUUAUUUUUCUUGAUAUUCUUGGCUCUUCUGAGCCCUUCCUUUACUUUAGAUAAAGAGAUAAAGGAAAUUGAUGAUAAAAGUUGUACAUAUCUAUAUAAUGUAGAAAGAAAAAAAGAAAGAAAGAAAGAUUCUUUUCCUUAUCUUAUGUGCUAUCUCAUGUAGUAAUUAUCUUUUUACAAUUGGGAGAGAUGGAUGAGUGGACUAAAGCGGCGGAUUGCUAAUCCGUUGUACGAGUUAAUCGUACCGAGGGUUCGAAUCCCUCUCUUUCCGUUGAUGACUUGAUUUUUUUUUUCAAAUUUUCAAAUCCUUUGUUCUUAUUCUUAGUUAAAUGUGUGGAAUAAAUCAAAUCCUAAGAAAAUUUGAAAAUCAAGCAAGGAAAACCCUUUUUAUUUUAUUCCUCACGUCCAGGAUUACGUCUGGGAUUAUUAGAUAGGAAUUCAAAGAUGAAGAGAGAAACAAAAAAUAUCACUACUGUGUAAACGAAGAGUUUUAGAGUAAGCAUUACACAAUCUCCAAGACGAUUUUUUUUUGAAAAAAAAAAGGAGAAUAGAUCAUCCAUUUUUCUACCGCAUAUCCUAGUUUGACACCAAGCAACGAAGCUCUUUCUCUAAAAGAAUUUUUCUAAAUUCUUUUCUAAUAAGAGUUUGUCAUUAACCAAAUUUUUAUAUACACAAGAGGAGCCUAAUAAGGUCUUUCACUCGAAAGGAAAGUGCAAAAAAAGAAGGAAAUAAGUUAAGCCAGAUUUCUCGUGACUAUCCAAGAAUUUCAAUGUUUGAAUCGAGAUUUCAAAUGGUAAAGCUUAUCUGAUUUGAUUUAUUGUAGAAUUUUUUCUCGAAUAAAUCAUGAAUUUUCUAGAAAAUUAUUAAGGAUCUCAUCGAAAACUUACAGCAGCUUGCCAAACAAAGGCUAAGAGAAAAAAGAACAGAGGUAUGACUGGCAUAAUAUCUACGAUUGGAUUCAAAAAAGCAUAGGCCUCGGGCAAUUUGCCGAAGAAAAAACUACUCGAAUAAAGGGUCGAAUUAAGACAGAUACCGAUCAAACUAAAGGUAUUAAGCAUAACAGACUUUUUGUUCUUGGAGAUAAUUGCAUUUUGAUUGAGUUAUUGAUAUAAGGAAAAGGAAAGUAAGUAAGGUAAACAAAAAAUUAUUCUUUUUCUUUGAACCCACCCAAUCAAAAAUCCUCCUUUUCUCAAAGGAGAAUCGAAAAAAUCAUAUUUUCAUACAAUAUCUUAAUUGAAUUAUAUGUAAUGAUCAAUAAAUUAAGUUGAAUUCUAUAUCUACACAUACCAAAAACAUAGCAAAAUCCCAGUACCAAUCUAAUCUAUUCUAUAGAUAUUUGGACUAGAGUUGACAAACAAACAAAACCAGCAAUAUACUUUUUUAGUAUCGGAUAGAAAUCUAAAUGGGGCGUGGCCAAGCGGUAAGGCAACGGGUUUUGGUCCCGCUAUUCGGAGGUUCGAAUCCUUCCGUCCCAGAACAUAUAUAUUCUAUGAGAAUAUAGAUUGCUUUUUUAACAAUGUUCUGUUUAAAAUCGAAAUGUUAGCUGGAAUGUGAUUGUUGUUUCUGAUUUUUUUCUUCGAUGAAUCUUUCAAAAACUGAAUCGAGAUGCGGAAGAAUCCAGAUUCCCUAUCUCGUAUUUUCUACCCCCUAAAUUAAACUAAUUAGAUUUAAUUUUCUUUUUUGUAGAUUUCUUUACUUUUCGUCAAGAGUGGGGUUUUGGUACUAAUUAAAUUCACUAAGUCUCUUAAUUCUUAAUCAAUGAGUUAGGCUAAAAUAGCAAAAAAAGGAGCAAAAACUGGACUUAAUCUGGACUUGUUUGGCUUUGUGCCUAGACAGCUCGCAUUUCGGAAAAAUAAAAAAGACUAGGACACCCCCUUAUUUUCUUUUGAUUUAUGCUGCAUCAGUCCCAUAGAAUGGGGUAGAUAGGAGUUAAUCAGUAAUGGGAAGGCGUUCAUUUCAAUAUCUAUAAAGGAUGACAAUUGCUCAGUCUAUUUGAUCGAAUUGAUAGAUACGAACACCUCCCCAUUCUUUGUAUUUUAUCAAUCAGAUGAAAAAAAAGAAUAAGAAUUCAAACCUUACCUGACAUUAAUCUUUUUUUAUCUAUCUCAUAACUCAUAAACAAAAUUGGAUUUGUUGUUUGGUGUAUUUAUCUAUUGUAAAUCAUUGAAUGUAAAUCAUUGAAAUCGUUGAUGAUUCACUUAAAAAAAAAAGACUUAUCUUUUUUCCUAAGAUGAUCAAAAGUUAUUUUUAACUAUCAAAUUUUCUUUGAAUAAUGAUGUGAUGUCGAAAAGAGAACUUUCUAAAUUUAUUCGAAAGUUAGAAAGAGAAAUAGUUUUAAUCAUUCCUUUUAAUCAUUCCUUAUAAACUGAAUCUUUCUCUCCUAUUAAGUCACGUGAAGAUGCAGAAUCAAAAAGAAUUCAUUUAUUCGUCUUAUUUUUUAUUAUUUAUAUAUAUUAUAUAUUUUAUUAUUUAUAUAUUUAUAUAAAUAAUUUAAUAAAUAUUUAAUAAAUAUAUUAAUUAAUAUAAUAUGUAUUAAUUAAUAUAAUAUGUUAGACAAAUUAAUAUUAGCGAUGGGCUCUUACUAAGAGACUUCUUCAGAAAAAUCUUUAUCCACCUAUAUCUAUAGUAUUAUUUAUAUCCCUUUAUAUCUCUAUACUAUAGAUUAUGGUGUUUAUACAUCAGCCCAACCAAUGACUAUUCAUGAUUCCAUAAUUGAAUCAAUUCCAUACCGGUUCUUAGAGGAAUGUUAUGGUAAAACUUCGUUUGAAACGAUGUGGUAGAAAGCAACGUGCGACUUGAAGGACACGAUCCGUUGUGGAUUUGUACAUCCACCAUUUUAUGUAGGAAUGAAGGUGCUCUUGGCUCGACAUCAUUGGUUCUGUUUCACUAGAACCCCUCGCUUUUUGUUGUCUUGGAAUGUAAAUAGUCCAUGAUGGAGCUCGAGUAGAAAGUAUUAAUUUAUUUCUCGGGGCAAGGGUCUAGGGUUAAUGCCAAUCAAUAAAAAAAUUGAAACAACUUCGUAAAUAUAUCUUCGGUAUGGAAAUCGAAAGAAUCCAAUUCGAGCAAGUUAAAAAUUCCAAAAUUUCUUUGAAUUGAUCAAACUUUUUCGAUCCAAAGUGUUUCACGAGGGAAUCCAUCGUCUUGUAGAAUUCUUUCCUAGAAAUCCCAAAAAGGGUAUGUUGCUGCCAUUUUGAAAGGAUUAAAAAGCACCGAAGUAAUGUCUAAACCCAAUGAUUUAAAAUAAAACAAAGAUAAAGGAUCCCAGAACAAGGAAACGCCUUUUAAUUGUCUUAAUAACUGGAUCAGACUGAAGAAUCCGAUUUUAAACGAGACAAACAAAAAAGGAGGAAAGACCGCUCAAUAAAUGAAAUUGCCGAAAGAUUUUCCUUUGAACUGUUUGAAAGUUAUCCAACUUGAGUUAUGAGAGUACGAAUGGUUUCUUUUUCAUUUUCAGGAAGAAAGAAGAAAAAAAAGGACUUACAUCUUUAAUUGAUUUGAUCAUUUUAUGGACCCAGUUGUCAUUUCUUAGAUAGAAUUCCAUACAUACAGAGACAAAACCAAAACCUCGAAUCAAUCAUUUUCUCGAGCCGUACGAGGAGAAAGCUUCCUAUACGUUUCUAGGGGGGGUGUUGUUCAUCUACAUCUAUCCCAAUGAGCCGUCUAUCGAAUCGUUGCAAUUGAUGUUCGAUCCCGAAGAGAAGGAAAAGAUCUUCGGAAAGUGGGUUUUUAUGAUCCGAUAAAGAAUCAAACUUAUUUAAAUGUUCCUGCUAUUUUAUAUUUCCUUGAAAAGGGGGCUCAACCUACAGGAACUGUUCAGGAUAUUUUAAAGAAGGCGGAGGUUUUUAAGGAACUUCGUCCUAAUCAACCAAAAUUCAAUUAAGGAAAUAAAUUAAGGAAAUACAAAAAAGGGGGGGUAGUGAUUUGUAUAUAACUUUGUAUGACUUUUCUCUUCUAUUUUUUUGUAUUUCCUCCCUUUCCUUUUCUAUUUGUAUUUAUUUAUCAUUGCUUCCAUCGAAUUCCAUGUUCUAUAACGACAAAACCUCUUAUUUUAUUGAUCUUAGAAAUAAUAAAUUCGGGCAUUUCGGUUGGUUUUCCGUUUUUCAUUGGAACUCUACUAAAGCUAACAAAGAAAUAAAGUUUUCUUUUAUCACUUAACUUGAUUGAAUCCAUUAUGGAUUCAAUAAAUCUAAGUAAAUUGUAGUUUUGUUUUCCACUUAUUCUUUAUUUAUUCUCUCAUCUAUACUUUUUUCUAUCGAUUUUAUUUGGUUUGGAUUAUAUUUGUAGUGCCAAUCCAACACAAGUCCUUUUUUUUUAUUGUUUUCAAUUGAAAUUUCUUUUGUUUUUUUUUUCAAUAUUUAUAUUGACAACAGUGUAUCGAACAAAUAUAAUUCAUUGUGAUAAAUUGAUAAAUGAAGUGGAUCUAUUUAGUUUUAUUUUAUCUUUUAAAUUAAUUAGAAAGUGUGAAUUUAUUUUUUUAGAUUUCUUCUUUCAAUGGUUUUGGGUUGUCUUGUCUAAUCUCUUUAUUUCUUUUUCUUCGGAUUGGAUCUACACCAUUUUUUCGAUAUUUUCUUCGGGUUGCUAACUCAACGGUAGAGUACUCGGCUUUUAAGUGCGGCUAGUGUCUUUUACACAUAUGGAUGAAGUGAGGGAUUCGUCCAUACUCUCGGUAAAGUUUGGAAGACCACGACUGAUCCUGAAAGGGAAUGAAUGGUAAAAAUAGCAUGUCGUAUCAACGGAAAGUUCUGAAAAUAUUUCAUUGUUCCUAGAUGGGUAUAAAACCGUGUUAGAAUUCUUGGAACGGAACAAAAUAAAGUUGGGUCGAAUGAAUAAAUGGAUAGAGCUGAAUUGAAGCAGACAUGUCAUGAAUGUUUAUUAUAUUUUUAAUUAAAUAUUAUUAAUUUUUUAAUACAUAAAUGACUUAUAAUAAUUAAUUAGAAAUGAUAUAGUAAAAUCAUGGUUGAAGUAGCUGAAGCAAGCUUGUCAUAAACAUCUAUUUACUUUUUUUUUUAAUUAUGUAUUAUUAAUUUUCUAAUUCAUAAAUAACUUAUAAUAAUUAAUUAAAAAUGAUAUAGUAAAAUCACGGUUGAAGUAGCUGAAGCAGUCUUGUCAUAAAUGUUUAUUUUAAAUUUUAAUACAUAAGUGAUUUAUAAUAAUUAAUUAGGGGUAAUAAGUAAAAUCACGAUUCAAGCUGUUGAAGCAGGCAUGUCGUCCACAAGCUGCCUGCUUCAGCAGCUUAUUGUCACUUAUCUAUUAGUAAAGUAUAUACUAGUUAUCCGUAGCCCGUGCUAAGUCCAGGCCCAAACUCUAAAUAUAAAAAUAAUAAUGCUUUAAUUAAAAAAAAUGUAUUAUAUUCUUUUACUGUAUAAUUAAAACCUAAUGACAGUCAAAAUGAAUUGUUCAUAAAUUUUCAUUAUUACCCAAUUUGCCAAAAAUUUACAAUAAAAAAAUAUAAAGAGUAAUUUAAUUGGCUUUUUUAUUUAUAGUUAUAGUAUUUUUAGUUUUGACAUAUUCCUUACAAAAUUAUUUUCCUCUAUAACUAAUAAGUAAUCUACAUUACGCUACUUUAAUUAAAUAGUACCAAUUUACUAUAAGUUUUUGGUUAUGUAAAAAUUCAGUUGUCUUAAUUUUGAUUUUAAAAGAAUUAUUAAGACCAUCAUCAUUAUAUAAAACAUAUUCAUUAUAAUUUAAGUAUAAACGUUAAAAAUAAAAUAUAAUAUAAAUCAGAGAAAGUAAAGAGCUACAAAAAUUCAUAAAAAUUUACUAUUGUUCAUCUCAAUUUAAAUGCUUACUUCUUUUUUGGUAUGUUUCAAAAAAUAGAUUUUUUCUAUAUUUUGUAAGUUUUUCAAUUUUAACAUUCUACAUGA